AAUAGGAUAGCAGGGUCAAAUGGUGGUUCCAUUCCAAAUUUUCUGAGAAAUCACCAUACUGCUUUCCAGAGUGGUUGCACCAAUUUUCAGUCCCACUAGCAAU
rnacentral:pre_miRNA from 1 species